UUAACUUUUUUGUAAAGUAUUAUUAUAUUAUUAACAUAUUUAUUUUAAAAAGAAAUAUUUAUAUUUCUAUGAAUUUCAACUGUUUUGUUGUCUAUAUACGCACAAGUGUGUUAAUUAGAAAUUAAUAUUAAAACUUUUAAGAGAUUCAGUGCAAACAAUUUCGGUAUCACCUGUUGCUUCAAAGCUACCUUGCGCAAUUGCAUAUUAAUGUUCCAAAGGUUAUACUGUCCAAUGCAAUUCACAAGCGAAAUAAGCUGAAUAGCACAGUCAAUACAAGGUCGCUAUUAAGAGACUGAGUAUGAGUAUAGAGCAAUACACUUGUAAUGCCAAUUUAGCGGCUAUUCGAAUAAAACAAUUGGAAGUAUUUCGUAUUAAGGCACGACCGACAGAAUAUAUAAAAUGUUCAGUUUUAAUUUAUUACUUCCACACUUUUACGAAAAAACCCGAAUCUGUGAUAUUGCCAAGAAAAAUACUUCUUUACAACACUUGCCAACUGAAAGAGGAAUUGUGAUAAACAUUGCAAACUGUAAAUAAAGAGCAGGUCGUCUGCUUAAUACCCUAUAAACAACUCUCAUUACCGCUUUGAAUUUCGCACAUAAAUAAUCACAGACGCCCGCAUGCAAAGAACUUGCUGCCAACGCACACUAGGUGGCGCCCGCUCACAGUAUUGAAUGAAUUUCGAUAAAUUAUUUGUUUACUCACUGAGCGACUCACCUGUUGAUAUUGAUCAAUGGAAAGAGCUUUAACAAACCUGUCAUAAAAUACAGGGUACAAGAGUUAUACUCAGUUGUGACGCGAAUGCGUGAGAGAAGAAUGAGAUAAAUAAACCACGACGCAGAGUAGCAAAAGUUAAAGAGCAACAAAACAAAAGGUAUUUAUAACACGACUGUGAAACACACUUUUAUAUACUAAGUGUAUGUGUGUGCAGACUUACAUAUGAGUAUGUAAGUAUUUAUUCGUCUGGUAGUCUGAAUGUAGACAUGUAUGUAAAGCUUUUAGGGGUUGAAAAGUGAAAGCACCUCCUCGCAGAGUAGCAGACUGUCUGGCUGCUAUUUUGCUUUUUUCUGAAUUGAAAAUUAUGCAAUUUGCAAACUGUACUCAGAAAUAAAUGAAAAUUGUUAACAAAUUAUAAACUUACCCGUUGCCGUUCAUUUUGUGCUUGAAUCGAUUGGGGUCCUGAUGAAAUUAAAUUAUUUUACUUUGUUUAUCUGCACUUCGUAGAACUCCACUGAACGCCACGCGGCGUCUUUAUUAUUUAUUUAUUUAAUGAUGAAAGAGCUGAAGUUGUAUUGAUUUUUUUUGCCUUGUUGGCGGCAACUGAAAUAAUAUUCGAGAUAUU